rnacentral:rRNA from 1 species
AAAUUGAAGAGUUUGAUCAUGGCUCAGAUUGAACGCUGGCGGCAGGCCUAACACAUGCAAGUCGAACGGUAGCACAGAGAGCUUGCUCUCGGGUGACGAGUGGCGGACGGGUGAGUAAUGUCUGGGAAACUGCCCGAUGGAGGGGGAUAACUACUGGAAACGGUAGCUAAUACCGCAUAACGUCGCAAGACCAAAGUGGGGGACCUUCGGGCCUCACACCAUCGGAUGUGCCCAGAUGGGAUUAGCUAGUAGGUGGGGUAACGGCUCACCUAGGCGACGAUCCCUAGCUGGUCUGAGAGGAUGACCAGCCACACUGGAACUGAGACACGGUCCAGACUCCUACGGGAGGCAGCAGUGGGGAAUAUUGCACAAUGGGCGCAAGCCUGAUGCAGCCAUGCCGCGUGUAUGAAGAAGGCCUUCGGG